GACGAACGCUGGCGGCGUGCUUAACACACGCAAGUCGAACGGAAAGGCCCUGCUUUUGUGGGGUGCUCGAGUGGCGAACGGGUGAGUAACACGUGAGUAACCUGCCCUUGACUUUGGGAUAACUUCAGGAAACUGGGGCUAAUACCGGAUAGGAGCUCCUGCUGCAUGGUGGGGGUUGGAAAGUUUCGGCGGUUGGGGAUGGACUCGCGGCUUAUCAGCUUGUUGGUGGGGUAGUGGCUUACCAAGGCUUUGACGGGUAGCCGGCCUGAGAGGGUGACCGGCCACAUUGGGACUGAGACACGGCCCAGACUCCUACGGGAGGCAGCAGUGGGGAAUAUUGCACAAUGGGCGGAAGCCUGAUGCAGCAACGCCGCGUGCGGGAUGACGGCCUUCGGGUUGUAAACCGCUUUCGCCUGUGACGAAGCGUGAGUGACGGUAAUGGGUAAAGAAGCACCGGCUAACUACGUG
rnacentral:rRNA from 1 species